GGCGGCGUGCCUAAUACAUGCAAGUCGAGCGGAYUKMUGGGAGCUUGCUCCCUGAAGUCAGCGGCGGACGGGUGAGUAACACGUGGGCAACCUGCCUGUAAGACUGGGAUAACUCCGGGAAACCGGGGCUAAUACCGGAUAAUUCUUUCCCUCACAUGAGGGAAAGCUGAAAGAUGGUUUCGGCUAUCACUUACAGAUGGGCCCGCGGCGCAUUAGCUAGUUGGUGAGGUAACGGCUCACCAAGGCGACGAUGCGUAGCCGACCUGAGAGGGUGAUCGGCCACACUGGGACUGAGACACGGCCCAGACUCCUACGGGAGGCAGCAGUAGGGAAUCUUCCGCAAUGGACGAAAGUCUGACGGAGCAACGCCGCGUGAGUGAUGAAGGUUUUCGGAUCGUAAAACUCUGUUGUUAGGGAAGAACAAGUACCGGAGUAACUGCCGGUACCUUGACGGUACCUAACCAGAAAGCCACGGCUAACUACGUGCCAGCAGCCGCGGGUAAUAC
rnacentral:rRNA from 1 species